UACGGAGGGUGCGAGCGUUGUCCGGAUUUACUGGGCGUAAAGCGCACGUAGGCGGAUCGUUAAGUCGGGGGUGAAAUCCUGGAGCUCAACUCCAGAACUGCCUUCGAUACUGGCGAUCUUGAGUCCGGAAGAGGUGAGUGGAACUCCUAGUGUAGAGGUGGAAUUCGUAGAUAUUAGGAAGAACACCAGUGGCGAAGGCGGCUCACUGGUCCGGUACUGACGCUGAGGUGCGAAAGCGUGGGGAGCAAACAGG
rnacentral:rRNA from 1 species